rfam:Strongylocentrotus purpuratus Contig142055_fixed, whole genome shotgun sequence.
UUUUCGGCCCUCUUUAGGGCCACCAAAUCUCCAAGAAAGAUUUCA